GCGCUGGCUACCCCGUCCUCUCACGCAGAGCAGCUGGCCGGAUCAGCGCAACAACCCGCGGGGGACUUACCUCAACAGGUCACAAUGUGUAACAUGGAGCCUGGAUUCAGAAACACACUAAAGCGUCAGGCGGCGUUUGAGCUGUUCGAAGACCCCAUGUCUCUGUUCUCGGGGUUUUAUCCGGUCCAGGAGGAGCAGGCGGCUCAGGAGGUCCCCUCCGGUCUGGACUGUGUCUCUCAGGAUGCCGGCGUGUGCUCGGUUCCUCUGCU